GCCGCCUUAGCUCAGUUGGUAGAGCAGCGCACUCGUAAUGCGCAGGUCUCCGGUUCGAGUCCGGAAGGCGGCUCCA
rnacentral:tRNA from 1 species